AGGUAAGAAAAAGUGGGAUGCCUCUUGGACCUCGUACUGGGUUUUCUAUAUAUGUGUGUUUAUAAGAAGCGAGCUUUGCUAUUUGGGGGUGUAGUGGACAUGGAAGUUCAAGGGAACAUUGGAUAUUGCCUAAAUCAGUCCAUUACCAAUCAUGGGAGAACUUGGUGAUAAAUGCGGUUAAAGCUUUCAAUGCUGAAACAGGUAGGGUUAACAGAGUGCCUAAAGUGAAAUUACUUC